rnacentral:tRNA from 1 species
AGGCGCGUAGCUCAGUUGGUAGAGCAUCGCUUUGACGUAGCGAGGGUAAGCGGUUCGAAUCCGCUCGCGCCUA